rnacentral:tRNA from 1 species
GGGGUUGUGGCUCAGUGGUAGAGCACUUGCCUAGCAUGUGCAAGGUCCUGGGUUCGAUCUUCAGCACCA